AUUGAACGCUGGCGGCAUGCCUUACACAUGCAAGUCGAACGGCAGCACGGGAGCAAUCCUGGUGGCGAGUGGCGAACGGGUGAGUAAAGUAUCGGAACGUGCCCAGUCGUGGGGGAUAACGUAGCGAAAGUUACGCUAAUACCGCAUACGAUCUAUGGAUGAAAGCGGGGGAUCGCAAGACCUCGCGCGAUUGGAGCGGCCGAUAUCAGAUUAGGUAGUUGGUGGGGUAAAGGCUCACCAAGCCGACGAUCUGUAGCUGGUCUGAGAGGACGACCAGCCACACUGGGACUGAGACACGGCCCAGACUCCUACGGGAGGCAGCAGUGGGGAAUUUUGGACAAUGGGCGCAAGCCUGAUCCAGCAAUGCCGCGUGCAGGAAGAAGGCCUUCGGGUUGUAAACUGCUUUUGUACGGAACGAAAAGGCUCUGGAUAAUACCUGGGGCUCAUGACGGUACCGUAAGAAUAAGCACCGGCUAACUACGUGCCAGCAGCCGCUGUAA
rnacentral:rRNA from 1 species